GAGGCUAUAGCUCAGUUAGUAGAGUGCUUACCUCACAUGCAUGAUGCCCUUGGGUUCAAUCCCCAGCACCACA
rnacentral:tRNA from 1 species